GACGAACGCUGGCGGCGUGCUUAACACAUGCAAGUCGAACGGAAAGGCCCUGCUUUUGUGGGGUGCUCGAGUGGCGAACGGGUGAGUAACACGUGAGUAACCUGCCCUUGACUUUGGGAUAACUUCAGGAAACUGGGGCUAAUACCGGAUAGGAGCUCCUGCUGCAUGGUGGGGGUUGGAAAGUUUCGGCGGUUGGGGAUGGACUCGCGGCUUAUCAACUUGUUGGUGGGGUAGUGGCUUACCAAGGCUUUGACGGGUAGCCGGCCUGAGAGGGUGACCGGCCAAAUUGGGACUGGGAUACGGCCCAGACUCCUACGGGAGGGAGCAGUGGGGAAUAUUGCACAAUGGGCGGAAGCCUGAUGCAGCAACGCCGCGUGCGGGAUGACGGCCUUCGGGCUGUAAACCGCUUUCGCCUGUGACGAAGCGUGAGUGACGGUAAUGGGUAAAGAAGCACCGGCUAACUACGUG
rnacentral:rRNA from 1 species